rnacentral:snRNA from 1 species
AUCGCUUCUCGGCCUUUUGGCUAAGAUCAAGUGUAAAAUCCAUGUUUUUGCUAUUAUUUCCUUCAUUCAUUGGCUGUUCUCUGUAUUUUCUUGAAAUUCACUAGAAUUGCCAUAAAGUGAUUGCUUUAAAUUUUUUGGCAGUAUUAAU